rnacentral:rRNA from 1 species
CCGGUGAGUGAUGAAGGGACCGUUCCGGGUUGGUUAAACUACUUUCGUCGCACGACGAUAAUGACGGUAGUGCGAGAAGAAGCUCCGGCUAACUUCGUGC